GGGCCUAUAGUUUAAUGGUAAAACACUGCUGUCGCACAGCAGAGAUCGGGGUUCAAUUCCCCGUAGGUCCA
rnacentral:tRNA from 1 species